rnacentral:lncRNA from 1 species
AUGUUGGAGUUUGAAGAGUCUUCUUGGACAAUGAGAUUAUACUGGAUGACUAUUGUGAAACACCAAAGAAAACACUCCAGGAAUUCUGAAACAAACAAACAAAAUGCGCAGAUGUAUGAGACACCAAAGAGGAAUUAUGUCAAAUCAAAUUAUUUAUUAUUUGAUCUUAAAAGAUGAUCAAGAGGAGCAAAUGUCCAAUGUUUAAAUUCUAGGACCGAAAAUAAAUAUUUCAGAAGACUCUCA